GAUGAAGAACGCAGCGAAAUGCGAUAAGUAGUGUGAAUUGCAGAAUUCAGUGAAUCAUCGAAUCUUUGAACGCACAUUGCGCCCCUUGGUAUCCCGAGGGGCAUGCCUGUUCGAGCGUCAUUUCACCACUCAAGCCUGGCUUGGUGUUGGGCGACGUCCCCUUUAGGGACGCGCCUCGAAACGCUCGGCGGCGUGGCACCGGCUUUAAGCGUAGCAGAAUCUUUCGCUUUGGAAGUCGGGGCCCCGCCUGCCGGAAUACCUACUCGUAAGGUUGACCUCGGAUCAGGCAGGGAUACCCGCUGAACUUAAGCAUAUCAAUAAGCGGAGGA
rnacentral:misc_RNA from 1 species